rnacentral:misc_RNA from 1 species
CCUUGUGGAGGAGGACGCCGAAGGUGGGGCUAAUGACUGGGGUGAAGUCGUAACAAGGUAGCCGUACCGGAAGGUGCGGCUGGAUCACCUCCUAACAGGGAGACAACAAAAUGUUAAAUAUUAAUUUUGUCACCUUAGGUCGAUCGGUAUCUCAGGUUCUUAAUUACUUUAAGAAUUUCAUUUCCUAAGUUUUUUCUAGGUCACACCCAUUACUUUCCCUGGGCCAUUAGCUCAGGUGGUUAGAGCGCACCCCUGAUAAGGGUGAGGUCCCUGGUUCAAGUCCAGGAUGGCCCAUAUCUCUAUGUUGGGGGUAUAGCUCAGUUGGUAGAGCGCCUGCUUUGCAAGCAGGAUGUCAGCGGUUCGAGUCCGCUUACCUCCACUGAUUACCACCUCUUCCAUAAAUUUAAAGAAGGGAAUAGUUAUGAGCGUUGAUUUACUUCUGAACGAAUCUAGCUUCCUAAUAAAUAUAUUAAGAUGCUGGACUCAUUGAAUUUUUUUCAUUGUUUUCAGAGAACCUUGACAACUGCAUAGAUUAUUUUUAAAGACAAUAAGCAUCUUUAAUGAUGCAGAUUUAUUAUUUGUGCUAAUGCAUUAAUAACAAUUCUAUUGAGCUGAUGCUUCAAUUAUUUGAAGUUAUUGGUCAAGCUACAAAGGGCUCACGGAGGAUACCUAGGCACACAGAGGCGAUGAGG